rnacentral:rRNA from 1 species
UUAAGCGACUAAGCGUACACGGUGGAUGCCCUGGCAGUCAGAGGCGAUGAAGGACGUGCUAAUCUGCGAAAAGCGUCGGUAAGGUGAUAUGAACCGUUAUAACCGGCGAUGUCCGAAUGGGGAAACCCAGUGCAAUUCGUUGCACUAUCGUUAACUGAAUACAUAGGUUAACGAGGCGAACCGGGGGAACUGAAACAUCUAAGUACCCCGAGGAAAAGAAAUCAACCGAGAUUCCCCCAGUAGCGGCGAGCGAACGGGGAGCAGCCCGGAGUCUGAAUCAGCUUGUGUGUUAGUGGAAGCGUCUGGAAAGUCGCAGGGUACAGGGUGAUACUCCCGUACACUAAAACACACAGGCUGUGAACUCGAAGAGUAGGGCGGGACACGUGGUAUCCUGUCUGAAUAUGGGGGGACCAUCCUCCAAGGCUAAAUACUCCUGACUGACCGAUAGUGAACCAGUACCGUGAGGGAAAGGCGAAAAGAACCCCGGCGAGGGGAGUGAAAAAGAACCUGAAACCGUGUACGUACAAGCAGUGGGAGCCUCUUAAUGGGGUGACUGCGUACCUUUUGUAUAAUGGGUCAGCGACUUAUAUUCUGUAGCAAGGUUAACCGAAUAGGGGAGCCGCAGGGAAACCGAGUCUUAACUGGGCGUUAAGUUGCAGGGUAUAGACCCGAAACCCGGUGAUCUAGCCAUGGGCAGGUUGAAGGUUGGGUAACACUAACUGGAGGACCGAACCGACUAAUGUUGAAAAAUUAGCGGAUGACUUGUGGCUGGGGGUGAAAGGCCAAUCAAACCGGGAGAUAGCUGGUUCUCCCCGAAAGCUAUUUAGGUAGCGCCUCGUGAAUUCAUCUUCGGGGGUAGAGCACUGUUUCGGCUAGGGGGUCAUCCCGACUUACCAACCCGAUGCAAACUACGAAUACCGAAGAAUGUUAUCACGGGAGACACACGGCGGGUGCUAACGUCCGUCGUGAAGAGGGAAACAACCCAGACCGCCAGCUAAGGUCCCAAAGUCAUGGUUAAGUGGGAAACGAUGUGGGAAGGCCCAGACAGCCAGGAUGUUGGCUUAGAAGCAGCCAUCAUUUAAAGAAAGCGUAAUAGCUCACUGGUCGAGUCGGCCUGCGCGGAAGAUGUAACGGGGCUAAACCAUGCACCGAAGCUGCGGCAGCGACACUAUGUGUUGUUGGGUAGGGGAGCGUUCUGUAAGCCGUUGAAGGUGGCCUGUGAGGGUUGCUGGAGGUAUCAGAAGUGCGAAUGCUGACAUAAGUAACGAUAAAGCGGGUGAAAAGCCCGCUCGCCGGAAGACCAAGGGUUCCUGUCCAACGUUAAUCGGGGCAGGGUGAGUCGACCCCUAAGGCGAGGCCGAAAGGCGUAGUCGAUGGGAAACAGGUUAAUAUUCCUGUACUUGGUGUUACUGCGAAGGGGGGACGGAGAAGGCUAUGUUGGCCGGGCGACGGUUGUCCCGGUUUAAGCAUGUAGGCGGAUGUUCCAGGUAAAUCCGGAACGUCACUAACGCUGAGGUGUGAUGACGAGGCACUACGGUGCUGAAGUGACAAAUGCCCUGCUUCCAGGAAAAGCCUCUAAGCAUCAGGUAACAUCAAAUCGUACCCCAAACCGACACAGGUGGUCAGGUAGAGAAUACCAAGGCGCUUGAGAGAACUCGGGUGAAGGAACUAGGCAAAAUGGUGCCGUAACUUCGGGAGAAGGCACGCUGAUGGUAGGUGAAGUGACUUGCUCAUGGAGCUGAAAUCAGUCGAAGAUACCAGCUGGCUGCAACUGUUUAUUAAAAACACAGCACUGUGCAAACACGAAAGUGGACGUAUACGGUGUGACGCCUGCCCGGUGCCGGAAGGUUAAUUGAUGGGGUUAGCGGUAACGCGAAGCUCUUGAUCGAAGCCCCGGUAAACGGCGGCCGUAACUAUAACGGUCCUAAGGUAGCGAAAUUCCUUGUCGGGUAAGUUCCGACCUGCACGAAUGGCGUAAUGAUGGCCAGGCUGUCUCCACCCGAGACUCAGUGAAAUUGAACUCGCUGUGAAGAUGCAGUGUACCCGCGGCAAGACGGAAAGACCCCGUGAACCUUUACUAUAGCUUGACACUGAACACUGGUCCUUGAUGUGUAGGAUAGGUGGGAGGCUUUGAAGUGUGGACGCCAGUCUGCAUGGAGCCGACCUUGAAAUACCACCCUUUAAUGUUUGAUGUUCUAACGUGGGCCCCUUACCGGGGUUGCGGACAGUGUCUGGUGGGUAGUUUGACUGGGGCGGUCUCCUCCUAAAGAGUAACGGAGGAGCACGAAGGUCAGCUAAUCCUGGUCGGACAUCAGGAGGUUAGUGCAAUGGCAUAAGCUGGCUUGACUGCGAGCGUGACGGCGCGAGCAGGUGCGAAAGCAGGUCAUAGUGAUCCGGUGGUUCUGAAUGGAAGGGCCAUCGCUCAACGGAUAAAAGGUACUCCGGGGAUAACAGGCUGAUACCGCCCAAGAGUUCAUAUCGACGGCGGUGUUUGGCACCUCGAUGUCGGCUCAUC